rnacentral:misc_RNA from 1 species
AGCAGCCGCGGUAAUUCCAGCUCCAAUAGCGUAUAUUAAAGUUGUUGCAGUUAAAAAGCUCGUAGUUGAAUUUCGGGGUCAGUAGAUUGGUCGUGCCACUGGUAUGUACUGGUCUUACUGGCUCCUCCUUCCUGAUGAACCGUAAUGCCAUUAAUUUGGUGUUGCGGGGAGACUGGACUGUUACUUUGAAAAAUUAGAGUGUUUAAAGCAGGCUAACGCUUGAAUACAUUAGCAUGGAAUAAUGAAAUAGGACGUUCGAUCUUAUUUUGUUGGCUUCUAAGAUUGACGUAAUGAUUAAUAGGGAUAGUUGGGGGCAUUAGUAUUCAAUUGUCAGAGGUGAAAUUCUUGGAUUUAUUGAAGACUAACUACUGCGAAAGCAUUUGCCAAGGAUGUUUUCAUUAAUCAAGAACGA